AUUGAACGCUGGCGGCAGGCCUAACACAUGCAAGUCGAACGGUAACAGGAAGCAGCUUGCUGCUUCGCUGACGAGUGGCGGACGGGUGAGUAAUGUCUGGGAAGCUGCCUGAUGGAGGGGGAUAACUACUGGAAACGGUAGCUAAUACCGCAUAAUGUCGCAAGACCAAAGAGGGGGAUCUUCGGGCCUCUUGCCAUCGGAUGUGCCCAGAUGGGAUUAGCUUGUUGGUGGGGUAACGGCUCACCAAGGCGACGAUCCCUAGCUGGUCUGAGAGGAUGACCAGCCACACUGGAACUGAGACACGGUCCAGACUCCUACGGGAGGCAGCAGUGGGGAAUAUUGCACAAUGGGCGCAAGCCUGAUGCAGCCAUGCCGCGUGUAUGAAGAAGGCCUUCGGGUUGUAAAGUACUUUCAGCGGGGAGGAAGGGAGUAAAGUUAAUACCUUUGCUCAUUGACGUUACCCGCAGAAGAAGCACCGGCUAACUCCGUG
rnacentral:rRNA from 1 species